AUCAAUUAGAACCCAACUAAGUAGGUAGAGAGAGAGAGAGAGAGAGAGAGAGAGAGAGAGAGAGAGAAACAACUGAUUCACAGUUACAGAAUUACAAUAUCCUAAUCCAAGUAAAACAGUAUUCACGAUAGGAGCCAUGCUUUUCUCAAAUCGAAAAGACUUUCAGAUAUCAUGUAUCAUUCAGCACUUUCCAAACUAGUUGUGCUAUUCUUUAAAAGCAUUGAGAGGACAAUACUCAAUAAUUCAGCACUUCCUUCACUUUCCCACAGUUUCUCUGUACUCAUGCACAACAGAAAAAAAUCCAACGAAAUCCGAAAUAAGCAUACAAAGAUCGAUUAACCCUUACAAUCAACUUCUUAUUAAACGGUAAUUCCCAUUUCAAUUCCUUACACUUUCCUAGCAACCAAGCAUACGCUGAUAAACUAACUAAUCCCGCAACAAUUCCAAAUAAAGCAUAAUUCAAAUCCCCUAAUCACUAAUAAAAAAAACAAAACACAAAUUAAAGCUAAGAACUUUCAAACAAAAAUCAUCAAAAACACGAAGCAGUACCCUCUUCUCCAAAACGACGGUGGACUGGGACCCAUCAAGCAGCUGCUGCUGGGGCUGACUCAAUCCUUCCCUCCUUUUCUUGAGCAAACUAUCCUCCCGCUUAUUCUUCUUGAUCUCCACCAAGUUGUCUUCCCUCCUCCGCCGCGCUUCCUCCGCGUCGACCCACCCCCGUCUUAUACGAUUUCUUCUGCACAUCGGUCCUCGUGCCUGGCCGCAGAGUCAAUACCUGGAGGACUUUGGGGCCGAGGAGGUGAGAGGACUUUCAGAGGGUAUGCGGGUCGGGCAAGGACCUGGAGGAGAUGGAUUUGAGGUCCAUGUCGGUGAGCUCCAACUCCACCGAAUCCACCACAGUACGCGUGUCAUCGGAUAAGGCGGAGUUGAUCAGGAUCAUCGCCUUCACUUGCAGCGUCGGAAGCAGCGCCGGAACUCCCCCCAUCCAUUUUUCAGCGCCUGUUUGCCGCGGCGUUUGAUUUUUGGGGAGCGAGAGACUGAGGAAGCGCAGCGGAUGAGAGAAAGAGAGGAGAGAUUUGAGAAUGAAAAGAAAAUGAAUGACGGCUAGGGUUUGUGAACUUUAUAAAUUUUAUAAAACAUUAAGAUUAGAAUACCUAUAAAUAUUAUACUGGUACAAUUAUAGCAAUACAAAGCCUACAGUCAAGUUGGUUUGAAGGAAGCUAUCCCCAACCUGGACGGAAGGGGUUCGAAUCUCCUCUCCAGCAGGUUUUGAGUAUUUAUAUUUUAUUUUCAUAUUUCGGUUCGGUUCGGUCCGGUCCGGUUUUCAUACCUCAAAAACCGAAACUAAACCAACUAAAUUCGGUUCGGUUUGGUUCAACAGAUUCGGUUCGAUUUUUUUUUCGGUUCGGUUUUUUUCGGUCUCGGUUCGGUUCGGUUGUCGGUUUUUUUCGGUUUUCGGUUUUUCCAACCCACCCCUAUGUAAAGCUGUUUGAAAUGUGCACUAAUCCUUUUUUUUGGUCCUUUUUCUGUCUUCACUUUUAUUUAAUACACAGAGAACAUCAUUUUGAAUAGCACUGGCUCAAUGCUUUUCUUCGUAGAUCCAAACAUUACAAAAUUAAACUCACACAAAUCAGUGUGAGUCCUUUCACCCCUAUAAAAUCAAAAUCAUGACAUGGUUAAAAUUCUUAAAAAAAAAACUAUUUGACUUAUGUUCAAUGUGAACUAUUACAG
rnacentral:lncRNA from 1 species